AGCAGCCGCGGUAAUUCCAGCUCCAAUAGCGUAUAUUAAAGUUGUUGCAGUUAAAAAGCUCGUAGUUGAAUUUCGGGAUUAAUAUGUUGGUCGUGCCUUGGUACGUACUGGCAUUAUUGGUUCCUACCUUCUGAAGAAUCUCGAUGUCAUUAAUUUGGUGUCUUGGGGAAUCAGGACUGUUACUUUGAAAAAUUAGAGUGUUUAAAGCAGGCUCGCGCUUGAAUACAUUAGCAUGGAAUAAUGAAAUAGGACGUUUUGAUUCUAUUUUGUUGGUUUCUAGGAUCGACGUAAUGAUUAAUAGGGAUAGUUGGGGGCAUUAGUAUUCAAUUGUCAGAGGUGAAAUUCUUGGAUUUAUUGAAGACUAACUACUGCGAAAGCAUUUGCCAAGGAUGUUUUCAUUAAUCAAGAACGAAAGUUAGGGGAUCGAAGACGAUCAGAUACCGUCGUAGUCUUAACCAUAAACUAUGCCGACUAGGGAUCGGAUGAUGUUAAUUUUUAAUGUACUCAUUCGGCGCCUUAA
rnacentral:rRNA from 1 species